GAUGAAGAACGCAGUGAAAUGCGAUAAGUAAUGUGAAUUGCAGAAUUCAGUGAAUCAUCGAAUCUUUGAACGCACAUUGCGCCCGCCAGUAUUCUGGCGGGCAUGCCUGUCCGAGCGUCAUUUCAACCCUCGAACCCCUCCGGGGGGUCGGCGUUGGGGAUCGGCCCUUUACGGGGCCGGCCCCGAAAUACAGUGGCGGUCUCGCCGCAGCCUCUCCUGCGCAGUAGUUUGCACACUCGCAUCGGGAGCGCGGCGCGUCCACAGCCGUUAAACACCCCAAACUUCUGAAAUGUUGACCUCGGAUCAGGUAGGAAUACCCGCUGAACUUAAGCAUAUCAAUAAGCGGAGGA
rnacentral:misc_RNA from 1 species